AUGGUGGCUUUCAGAGUUUUCUAUUUCCUCUCUCUUUUUUUUUUUUUUAGAUGGAGUCUCGCUGUCUCACCCAGACUGGAAUGUAGUGGUGUGAUCUUGGCUCACUGCAACCUCCACCUCCCACGUUCAAAUGAUUCUCCUGCCUCAGCCUCCCGAGUAGCUGGGAUUACAGUAAAGAGUAGACCUCCGACAGAGGAAGCAGCCUGUCUUUCAACUGUAAACUGUGGUUUGCUACACUUCAUUCUCUAUUACUUUGGUCCUCAAAGCAGUCUCACCCCGAGAUGAGCCUGGACAUGAGUGUCAUAGCCAGCGGUGUGACAAGUAGAAAGGCUGUGUAUGAAGACGCUCCAUCUUAUCUGCCAAUGUUUUUCUCAUCUGUACAAUUAAGGUGCUCCAUUAAAUCAGCUCUAAGGUUGUUUCAAGGUUAAGAAAGAAUUAAAAUCAUAAAUCAAGCUUUCAGAGGCAUUGCAGGAUUGAGAUGCUACAAUUUUGGAGUUUAUAAAUUGAUAGUAAAGAGAACUGUCCGAAAAUGACCUCUGUCCUGAGACGAAGCAACCCCAGGGAAGUCUUGCCAGACCUCACCUCCACCUGCUCUUCCAGAGACUGCACAAGAAGGGUGUUAGGGACACUGAUUUCCAAAUCUGUCUCCCUCCCCACAGCACGCUGCUGGGCAGGAUUCAGGCCUCACUGUUUUCUUGAUUCUUAGAACCUGUCACUGAUGCAUGUGUGUUGACCAAAUAAAUAAUGCUACUGUUUGUCUUACACUUGCCCUUUCUGAUCACGAGUUCUAUGUUAGUAUCCUGAGUGACGACUGCUUCUCACUUGCCUUACUUUCAUCAUCUUUCAGCUCUCUCCUUUCCCUUCCUCAGCACCAAUAAGUCCUACAUCUGUACGCCUGAUUCCUGCACUGCAACUCAGAGUUUUCAGUCAUGACUAUUUAAACUCACAUUGAAGACUUGUGCCUGGUCGUGUGCUAGAAAUAUCUCCUUGGCUCCAGCUGUCAUGAAUCCUAGAAGGAAUAAAGAUCUACAUAGCUGCAGAAGGCAACAUACCCCACCUGAAGGAGGUGACAUCCCGGUGUGGGAGAAGCAGGCCCGAGUGACAGGACAUCAGUAUCAGUCCUUUAAGGUGAUGAAGAAGCUGCUUUGCAGCCCAGCAUUGCCUCCAUUUUAGCUGCCCAUUUACAGUGAAGGAAUUUCUUAAAGAUAAUUUCCAGAUUAUAACUGGAAGAAAAGGGAAUUUUCAUUUCAAAUUUAGAAUGAUGAACGGAGAAGAAAAUCUUUUUAAAAAUUCUCUUUCCCCGUGUAGCUCAUUAAAAAAAUGUUUUUUUCUGGACCAUUAAUGAAGCAGGUAUAG
rnacentral:lncRNA from 1 species